rnacentral:tRNA from 1 species
GAGGAUGUGGCUCAGUGGUAGAGCACUUGCCUAGCAUGUGUGAGACACUGGGUUCCAUUCUCAGCACCACA